rnacentral:rRNA from 1 species
AUUGAACGCUGGCGGCAGGCUUAACACACGCAAGUCGAGCGGGGGAAGGUAGCUUGCUACUGGACCUAGCGGCGGACGGGUGAGUAAUGCUUAGGAAUCUGCCUAUUAGUGGGGGACAACAUCUCGAAAGGGAUGCUAAUACCGCAUACGUCCUACGGGAGAAAGCAGGGGAUCUUCGGACCUUGCGCUAAUAGAUGAGCCUAAGUCGGAUUAGCUAGUUGGUGGGGUAAAGGCCUACCAAGGCGACGAUCUGUAGCGGGUCUGAGAGGAUGAGCCGCCAAACUGGGACUGAGACACGGCCCAGACUCCUACGGGAGGCAGCAGUGGGGAAUAUUGGACAAUGGGGGGAACCCUGAUCCAGCCAUGCCGCGUGUGUGAAGAAGGCCUUAUGGUUGUAAAGCACUUUAAGCGAGGAGGAGGCUACUUUAGUUAAUACCUAGAGAUAGUGGACGUUACUCGCAGAAUAAGCACCGGCUAACUCUGUGCCAGCAGCCGCCGUAA